rnacentral:lncRNA from 1 species
CUAGCACAACUCCCACUUCUAAAUAGUGGUACCAAUUUUUAGUGUUGUGUUCGUCCUAGCACAACUCCCACUUCUAAAUAAGGAGAAUAUAAAAUAAAAAAUGUUAUAAUGCUCAAUAUUGUUCUAAUUUGCACCAGGUGGCUAAAACAAAUAAAAAUGAAGUAGCUCUCUUUGGUCUAAAUCAGUUUUGCAAGCUCUCAUUUUAAUAAUUAAUAGUGUCGUGAUACAGUAACAUGUUUAUAAUAGGCAGAUAUAAUGUUCUGAAUUAGGAUUUAGUUUUCUCUUCCACGAAGACGUAAAUUAAGUACCACGAAGUUGAUGAUAAACUUAUUUGAAUCUCGAAAUUUGAAAUGUUCCACAUAUAUCCAGCCUUCUUCUUUACUUGCUUAGCUUGAAGAUACAUGGGCAAAUUGGAUUAUCAAAUUAAACAUAUGCAUAAACUUCGACGAAAAAAAAUUGAAAGUGGAAAGAACCCGUAAAAUCAAAACACAUACAAAUAUGUAUGUAGAAAAUCCAAGUAUCCAAACGAACCGAAAGCUGAUACAAAUGUCCAUCAAAUUCCAUUAGCAAUACCUGCAUGUAUUAAUUAAGCAAUGAAGAAAGAAGAAUUCAUCAGAAUUGAGGCAAAUAAGAAAGAAAAUCAGGAGUUAAAUAAAUCCCAAAAAUAUAAUUAGGCAAAAAUGUAAGAUCGAUUGCAAUUUCAUUCCAGCCCUCUCAUUCCUUACCUCACAAUAUGUGAACUCCAAAAUAAUUUAUGUGCAUUUGUUGAACUUUGAAUCCCUUAAGUCAUCUACAAAAUAUAUGAUGAUUGAAUGAAUUCUUAGAAACCCAAGUUGAAAAAUUAGGUUAAAGUGAAAUAAAUUUCUUUAGGAGUUAUAUUUAUUUCAUUAAUGUAGAGAAUUAAUAAAAAAGAAUAAAACAAAGAGAGAAUAAAAGGGAAGAAUGAAGAGUAGAAAAAGAAGAAGAUAACAAGAUACAGAGAGGGAGAAACUGAGGUGAGAAAAGAAGAAAAGUAAUUAUAAAUUGGGAAAAGGAAGGUACACGUGGGUUGUUGUAUGGAUAGAAAGGACACGUAUAAUAGACGUGUCUAUUUUUGUUAAUGUGCCAUAAUUAAUUUU